rnacentral:rRNA from 1 species
UUGACAUGCAGAGACUUUCAGAGAUGGAUUGGUGCCUUCGGGAACUCUGACACAGGUGCUGCAUGGCUGUCGUCAGCUCGUGUCGUGAGAUGGUUGGGUUAAGUCCCGUAACGAGCGCAACCCUUGUCCUUAGUUACCAGCACGUUAUGGUGGGCACUCUAAGGAGACUGCCGGUGACAAACCGGAGGAAGGUGGGGAUGACGUCAAGUCAUCAUGGCCCUUACGGCCUGGGCUACACACGUGCUACAAUGGUCGGUACAAAGGGUUGCCAAGCCGCGAGGUGGAGCUAAUCCCAUAAAACCGAUCGUAGUCCGGAUCGCAGUCUGCAACUCGACUGCGUGAAGUCGGAAUCGCUAGUAAUCGUGAAUCAGAAUGUCACGGUGAAUACGUUCCCGGGCCUU